rnacentral:rRNA from 1 species
GAAGCUGGCGGCGUGCUUAACACAUGCAAGUCGAACGAAGCAUAUAAAAGGAAUUUUUUCGGUAGAGGAAUUUUAUAUGACUGAGUGGCGGACGGGUGAGUAACGCGUGGGCAACCUACCCCACACAGGGGGACAACAGUUGGAAACGACUGCUAAUACCGCAUAGGCGCACAGCUUCGCAUGAAGCAGUGUGGAAAACCGAGGUGGUGUGGGAUGGGCCCGCGUCUGAUUAGCUGGUUGGCGGGGUAACGGCCCACCAAGGCGACGAUCAGUAGCCGGCCUGAGAGGGUGGACGGCCACAUUGGGACUGAGACACGGGCCCAAACUCCUACGGGAGGCAGCAGUGGGGAAUAUUGCACAAUGGGGGAAACCCUGAUGCAGCGACGCCGCGUGAGCGAAGAAGUAUUUCGGUAUGUAAAGCUCUAUCAGCAGGGAAGAAAAUGACGGUACCUGACUAAGAAGCCCCGGCUAAAUACGUG